CCCUGAAAUCUAAAUACCCUAAAAACAUCAGAUCCCAUUUGAUUUUGGAAGUUAAACAGGACCAGCUCUGGUUAGUUUUUGGAUGGGAGAUCACCAAACAAUGCCAGGUGCUGUAUGAU
rnacentral:rRNA from 11 species